GAUGAACGCUGGCGGCGUGCCUAAUACAUGCAAGUCGAGCGAACAGACGAGGAGCUUGCUCCUUUGACGUUAGCGGCGGACGGGUGAGUAACACGUGGAUAACCUACCUAUAAGACUGGGAUAACCUCGGGAAACCGGAGCUAAUACCGGAUAACAUGUUGAACCGCAUGGUUCAACAGUGAAAGACGGUCUUGCUGUCACUUAUAGAUGGAUCCGCGCCGCAUUAGCUAGUUGGUAAGGUAACGGCUUACCAAGGCAACGAUGCGUAGCCGACCUGAGAGGGUGAUCGGCCACACUGGAACUGAGACACGGUCCAGACUCCUACGGGAGGCAGCAGUAGGGAAUCUUCCGCAAUGGGCGAAAGCCUGACGGAGCAACGCCGCGUGAGUGAAGAAGGUCUUCGGAUCGUAAAACUCUGUUAUUAGGGAAGAACAAAUGUGUAAGUAACUAUGCACGUCUUGACGGUACCUAAUCAGAAAGCCACGGCUAACUACGUG
rnacentral:rRNA from 1 species